UAGUUCAGUGGAUAGAGCAUCUGUUUCCAGAGCAGAAAGUCAUAGGUUCGAACCCUGU
rnacentral:tRNA from 1 species